CUUCAGCAUCCUUGCAUAUGUUCAAUUCUUAAAAACCUGUUGAAAUAAAAGAUCAGGAGACAUAGGAAGGAUGCCAGAAGAGAGCGUGGCCUCACGUGUACCAGCUCUCUGCUCUCCUUUGCCUUGGGACGUUCCAUCCCUGGAAGUUUCCCUGCCCACAUCUUUGUAGAGAGUCCAUUCUCCAAGCUUCAGUGUGUCAUCUGUGAGGACCGUGACCCACCUGGUACAUCGCCUCAGGGCAUUCAUUUCAGGCUCCUUCUAAAUGGCCAAGUUUUCAAGAUUGUUUUGGCUCUAGCAAAACAAGUUGGAACAUUCACAUCAUCCAAGACAACACCAACAUUUUUGUAAUGGCCUGCAAGGCCUUCCGAGAUCUACCUCCUGCAACUCAGCUUCUCCUGUGCUCUCCUUCUGGACUCACUCUGCCUCAGCAACACUGGUCCCUGUUGCCCCACCAAUAUGCCAGGCCAUGAGAGAAGCAGUACCUUAUAAUGGUUCCUUGUUCAAAGCACUCAAUAUUCCUAGGAUGUGGUCUCCCAGCUGACUUCAUAACUGAAUCAUCAGUAAUUAAUUUCAUUGUUCUAUUAGGACUUUACUGAAGACUCUAAGGAGGACCUGUAUCUGUUGGGAUCCUCAGGGCAAGCCACAGAAACAAGCUUUGGAUACUAGAAGCAGAAAAUGGAGAUAUUGAAGACUAUUGUGGAGUUUACUGUGAGCCAGAGAACCAGGCUGGGGGGCUGUAUCACUUAGAAUGAGAUCCAAACUCACACCAUAGUUCCAUCCUUGAGGUUGCCAUGUUGCUGCCACCCCUCCUGCCACCCCACCACUGAAGCUUUGGAUGCUGGAUUCUGGGCACAGCAGGGAGAAGUGUUGCUUAUUACCAUUUUAGUAUGUUUUCUUUCAAGACCUUUUCAAAAUAUACAUACGUAUUUUUAUUUCUAUUCAAAAUGGGAUACAUUUUUGAAGGUUAGCAAUAUAUUGUGAACAUUUUCUUUC
rnacentral:lncRNA from 10 species